rnacentral:rRNA from 1 species
UACGAAGGGGGCUAGCGUUGCUCGGAAUCACUGGGCGUAAAGGGUGCGUAGGCGGGUUUUUAAGUCAGAGGUGAAAUCCUGGAGCUCAACUCCGGAACUGCCUUUGAUACUGAAAGUCUUGAGUAUGGGAGAGGUGAGUGGAACUGCGAGUGUAGAGGUGAAAUUCGUAGAUAUUCGCAAGAACACCAGUGGCGAAGGCGGCUCACUGGCCCAUAACUGACGCUGAGGCACGAAAGCGUGGGGAGCAAACGGG